UAAAAUGUAUUGUCUUUGAUGCAGGAGCAUUCAUGGCUAAGCAAACCGAUCCAGCUGACACAGAUCCUUCUGAUACAUAUCCUUCUGCAGUAACUGCCGGGGGAUGGACAUCUCCGCGUUGCCGUAGGCUGCUGCGGGCGAGCGCGACCCCGCCGUGACUCCGACGCGCUGCAGGCUCGCGGCGACUUUGUCACCACCCAGCUGCUGGGUGCAGUAAGCCUGCAUGAUGGAGUCGGCCAGCGCGAGCGCUCAUGCUCACUGGACAUCUCAGCGGACAUUAAAGGUGACGCAGAGUCCUCCUCAAAGAGGCCCGGGGGCUGGCAGAGAUAACUAUCAUCGUGAAAGAACAUGAGGAGGAAUCGUUAAACACCGGUUUAAUGGAUAUGCAAAACAGAAUGUUGAUCAACAAAGAUGUAUUUGUGGUGAAGCACGUACAAAACACUCUUUGGGAUCACCCAAAAGAAUGGUUCCAAUAUUAACGUCCCCACGUCAAAUGGAAAACUCUAAAAUCAAUGCCUCCCCCCGCAACUUCCCCUGUACGCCGUGCUAUAAAUCAACCCGCGUUCAGUAGCAGCACUAAUGAGGCCGUGUUCCGCGCUAACAAUUAACUGUGGAACGCAUCAUGUUCUGCAGGGGAAGCGAGGCUGAAU